AUUCAACGCUGGCGGAAGCUCUAACACAUUCAAGUCGAGCUAGCGGCGGACGGGUGAGUAAUGUAUGGGGAUUGCCCGAUCGAGGGGUUUCACUACUGGAUACGGUGGCUAAUACCGCAUACUGUCGGAUAACCCAUAUGGGAUUAGCGAGUAGGUAAGGUAAUUGCUUACCUAGGCGACGAUCCCUAGCUGGUCUGAGAGGAUAAUCAGCCACACUGGGACUUAGACACGGCCCCGCCUCCUACGGAGGCAUGAGUGGGGAGUAUUGCACAAUGGUCGCAAGCCUGAUGCAGCCAUGCCGCGUGUAUGAAGAAGGCCCUAGGUUUGUAAAGUACUUUCAGUCGGGAGGCGUUACCGACAGAAGAAGCACCGGCUAACUCCGUGCCAGCAGCCGCGGUAAUAC
rnacentral:rRNA from 1 species